rnacentral:rRNA from 1 species
UGAUAGGUUGGAUGUGGAAGCAUAGUGAUAUGUGAAGCUGACCAAUACUAAUUGCUCGUGAGGCUUGACUAUACAACACCCAAGCAGUUG